rnacentral:lncRNA from 10 species
GGAAGCUCCUUUCAGAUAGAGACAAGGGAUAUUUGACUUCUUAUCUCUGUUGUCCAGCACAAUGUCCAGAACACAACAGAUAUUCCAUAUGCACAGUCACAUGCUAUGUAUGUGUAUUUUCUUUCCAGAAAGGACUAGAGGUCCUAAGCUUUGUUAAUAUCAUGAGCCAGUGCCCACAUGAGCAGGAGAAUUUUAGCACAGUCACCUACACACUCAUUUCGAUGCUCUGACCCCUUAUCCAAGCCAGUCAAAGUGUGGUCUAUGGUUUUGCAUUUUAAAGAGAUCCCUGGGUGAAUCUUGUGCAUGUUACAGGGAAGCACUGUCCUACAUCCUAUGUGACAGGCUCUCAUAGUCACCAUCAUCAUGGGAAUCUUGCACAUGUUACAGGGAAGCACUGUCCUACAUCAUAUGUGACAGGCUCUCAUAGUCACCAUCAUCACGGGAAUCUUGCACAUGUUACAGGGAAGCACUGUCCUACAUCGUAUCUGACAGGCUCUCAUAGUCACCAUCAUCACAGGAAUCUUGUGCAUGUUACAGGGAAGCACUGUCCUACAUCGUAUCUGACAGGCUCUCAUAGUCACCAUCAUCACGGGAAGCUGCAUUUAGAGCAUUUAACUGUAUGGGCUCUGAAAUCAGAUGACUUAGGUUUGGGCUUGCCUCUACUUCUUACUAAGCAGAGAACUUUGGGGCAUGAUACUUAAUUUUACUAGGCUCAGUUUUAUCAUGUGUAAAUUGGAGGCAAGGGGAAAUUAUAGCAUUUUGCAUAGAAUAUUGUUUUAAGUAUGAA